AACGAACGCUGGCGGCAUGCCUAACACAUGCAAGUCGAACGAGACCUUCGGGUCUAGUGGCGCACUGGUGCGUAACGCGUGGGAACCUGCCCUUAUGUUCGGAAUAACUCCCCGAAAGGGGUGCUAAUACCGGAUAAUGUCUUCGGACCAAUGAUUUAUCGCCUUUGGAUGGGCCCGCGUUGGAUUAGCUAGUUGGUAGGGUAAAAGCCUACCAAGGCGACGAUCCAUAGCUGGUCUGAGAGGAUGAUCAGCCACACUGGGACUGAGACACGGCCCAGACUCCUACGGGAGGCAGCAGUGGGGAAUAUUGGACAAUGGGCGAAAGCCUGAUCCAGCAAUGCCGCGUGAGUGAAGAAGGCCUUAGGGUUGUAAAGCUCUUUUACCCGGGAUGAUAAUGACAGUACCGGGAGAAUAAGCACCGGCUAACUACGUG
rnacentral:rRNA from 1 species